ACGCACGCUGGCGGCGUGCUUAACACAUGCAAGUCGAACGGAAAGGCCCUGCUUUUGUGGGGUGCUCGAGUGGCGAACGGGUGAGUAACACGUGAGUAACCUGCCCUUGACUUUGGGAUAACUUCAGGAAACUGGGGCUAAUACCGGAUAGGAGCUCCUGCUGCAUGGUGGGGGUUGGAAAGUUUCGGCGGUUGGGGAUGGACUCGCGGCUUAUCAGCUUGUUGGUGGGGUAGUGGCUUACCAAGGCUUUGACGGGUAGCCGGCCUGAGAGGGUGACCGGCCACAUUGGGACUGAGAUACGGCCCAGACUCCUACGGGAGGCAGCAGUGGGGAAUAUUGCACAAUGGGCGGAAGCCUGAUGCAGCAACGCCGCGUGCGGGAUGACGGCCUUCGGGUUGUAAACCGCUUUCGCCUGUGACGAAGCGUGAGUGACGGUAAUGGGUAAAGAAGCACCGGCUAACUACGG
rnacentral:rRNA from 1 species